AUUUAUAUAGUUUAAAAUAAAACAUUACAUUUUCAUUGUAAAAUUAAACUAUGUUUUAUAAAUA
rnacentral:tRNA from 1 species